GGCUAUUUAAUUGGGGCGAUAACCUUCUUUAAUCGAACGAAAGGUGAACAAAGCUAUUGAUACGGGCUUUGUUAAAGGACGAGUAAGUACAAAGAUAGAUCUGUGGCUUAAUGGUAUUACUUUGUUUGAUCCAGUAUUUAAAUGGUGUCUUAGUGACCUUAAAAUUAAUUUAUCAGAUAAAAGCUACUCAAGGGAUAACAGGCUUAAUUAAAAUUAGAGCUCACAUUAAAUUUGCCAGUUUGGCACCUCGAUGUCGGCUUAUCUUUUCAAAAAUCUGCAUUAGGAUUAUUGGUGGGAGUGCUCAUCCCAUAAUAAGGUACCUGAGCUGGGUUCAGAACGAUGAAAAUCAGUUUGGUCUAUAUCUCUAACUUCAUAAGUAAAUCAUAGUCUUCUUUGCUCAGUACGCAAGGACCGUCAACAAAUUGCUAAAGGUGAAU
rnacentral:rRNA from 1 species